AUGCUUGUUUUGGCAGCACAUACACUAAAAUUGCAAUGAUACUGAGAAGAUUCACAUGGCCCUGUGCAAGGAUGACACACAAAUUUGUGAGGCAGUCCAUAUUUUU